UCUGGCUCCUCCCUUCGUGAUAUCCAGAAACAAUAACUCCUUCCGCUUCUCCACCCCCGCCUCUCCCCCUCCCUCCAUCAGUAACAUCCGCCCCGCAUCCCCAACCCUCCCUCGCUUUUACUCCUCGCCUUGGGCAUCCUCUUCCUCACCUUGGGUUCCUCUCAAGGUCGGCGUGUCUUCUUCACCUACCGAUGCCAUCCAGGGCUACCUUGGAUUCUGAGUGAUUGGCCAGCAACGAAAGUCCCAUGGCGUUAUUGUCUUAGAUCAUGGUGGCCCUGUCCCCGCAUCAUGAAAUUAUUCUUCUCACCAAAGGAUCGCAAGACAAUCGAUUUGGAAGGAGGUCGCACCAACGGGGAUCAAAGUAGGCUAAUCGAUAAGACAACGUCUUCUCGAUCGAUCAAUCUCGCCUGUCCGGUCCAACAGGCAAACUCGACCUUAAUCUACAGCUAUAUAUAACGGCGACACGUGCAAUGUGGCCGCGGCAUGUUUACCAGCGGCCUGACGGGCAAUGGACGGGAGUAACGCUAUUCUUCCAUGUUUUUGAUCUCACCCUUUUGAUGCAGGAGAUUUUUGCAUCGGUCCAUACGACGGAUAUAAACAUUCAGUUAUUUCUUAGAUUUUUGAGAAAAAUGCCAGCCGUUCAUUCAUUUGACCAGAGAAAAAAAUUCAGAUGAAAAGAAAAGGAAAAAGGAUCAGAUGAAAAAAAACUAGAAUGGAUAUUCAUUAUUUGCCUACAUUUAAAACUGAUUAUAUUUAUUAAAUCAAUUUAAGUCUUGCGGAAGCUACAAUUAUUUUGCAAUCCCCUUUUACAGUGAUGGUUCAUGUAUUGCUCAUAUUCGUCGUGCUACAAAAGCAUAGCGUUUUUUUCUCUCUUAAUUUUAUGUUUUUUCGUGUAUCAUUAUGAUUUACAUGGGCACCAAGGUGAACUAUUGUUAAACCUUCCAGAUCGAUCAUAUUGCGAUCCCGCCUUGCUGAAUAAUAACUGAAUAUUCAACCCUCAAUUCUUUGUUUGACAUUAUUUGUAUGAGAAUAUCUUAUUUUGUAACCAAUAGUUAAAUCACGCAAAAGUUGUAAACACACGAACAAUGAAGUUCUAUUAUGAUUCGGUUGCUUUUGUUUCAAGUAAUUGGUGCUUUCUGAAUAUGCACAAAAAAAAAACUUUCAAAUGCCUAUCUAAUGGGAGCUCUAUCGAAAUGUAUGGAUAUCAUAUGUGUAUACUGACAUUACUUCUAAUGCCUGUACUUACUCUUCAUGAAGUAAUUAUUUGUUCAAAGGUAAUUUUCAGGUCAUGUUCCUUCAACACUACUGGGAACCGCUGAAAAUUGUACAAUGAUGAAGACCACAAGUGUUACCAAAUAAUUAAACAAUGAAGCAGGUACGGUUUCCAUGUUUGGUUCGAACCUAACACUUUAUUGUACAGAGUCAUUUUCUUAGUUUGCUUUGCGGAAAUUUAAUUGUGUGUCACUUACGGGAUUGAUAACCGCUGCAUUUUCUUUAGUUGUCUGACAAGCUAUCUUCCCCUCUGUUAACUGUAAAAUAUGCCUUUGAUUCCCCAGGGAUGAAUUGAUUAUAUUCGUUUGUUAAAUUUUGAAGUAGGAGCUUCACUUCCUUUCGAAUCUUAUACUCUUUUCAGUAUUUUGAAGGACGUGCUUCUAGCAUGGCGGUAAGUCCUCUAGGUGUAAGGCUACGACCUUGGUUCUCACACAAAGGGUCCCUCACUAACUUUGCAAUUGCGCCACCGUGGACAAUGAAGCCGGCAUUUCGGUCCUUCCGGAUGAUCAAGUUUUUUCUAAUAUUUUCCAGUAAUAAAAAGAUUGUGCUUUUACACACCU